UACAGAGGUCCCAAGCGUUGUUCGGAUUCACUGGGCGUAAAGGGUGCGCAGGUGGUCGAGUAAGUCUGACGUGAAAUCCCGCAGCUUAACUGCGGAAUGGCAUUGGAUACUAUUCGGCUAGAGGGUUGGAGGGGGGACUGGAAUUCUCGGUGUAGCAGUGAAAUGCGUAGAUAUCGAGAGGAACACCAGUGGCGAAGGCGAGUCCCUGGACAACUCCUGACGCUGAGGCACGAAAGCUAGGGGAGCAAACAGG
rnacentral:rRNA from 1 species